UACGUAGGGUGCAAGCGUUGUCCGGAAUUAUUGGGCGUAAAGAGCUCGUAGGCGGUCUGUCGCGUCUGCUGUGAAAACUCAGGGCUUAACCCUGAGCUUGCAGUGGGUACGGGCAGACUAGAGUGCGGUAGGGGAGACUGGAAUUCCUGGUGUAGCGGUGAAAUGCGCAGAUAUCAGGAGGAACACCGGUGGCGAAGGCAGGUCUCUGGGCCGAUACUGACGCUGAGGAGCGAAAGCGUGGGGAGCGAACAGG
rnacentral:rRNA from 1 species